AUUUUUUCAGGUUGACC
rnacentral:rRNA from 2 species